UUUAAGCAUAUCACUCAGUGGAGGAAAUGCAAGCAACUGCGAUUGCUUCAGUAACGGCGAGUGAACGAGGAACACACAGGGCUCGGCCCGAACCGGAUUAUCUCUUCCCUGCGCGGCACACAGACACAACCUCCUCUGUCGCCGCACGCGGCCACACCGCCGCGAACCCGCUGCCCCCCUCGGGGGGCGGGCGGGCGAGCGUGCGGAGUGUGCCCGUGCGGACCAACUGCGGGGAACACCAGUGGUGCUCGCGAUCGGCUAUCGUGGUAAUUCCAGCAGAUGCUGUGGGCUGUGGAGCGGGUGGCUGUGCGGAUGGCGGCCGCGGCCCCAGGAGGAACCCUGGAAGGGGUCACCACCGAGGGCUACCGUCCCGUACACCGGCAGCGUGCCGUGGCUCGUCGUCGCGCGGCCGCCCGUAUCCAAGAGUAGAGUGGCUUGGGACUGCAGUUUGAAGCGCGGCGUGUAUCCGCCGCAAGGAAGCAUACAGACCUGGGACCGAUAGCGCACAAGUAGAGUGAUCGAAGGAUGCAAAGAACUCCGCGAAGAGGGUUAAAAGUUCCUGAAGCCUCGGCAGGAACGGCGGUGAACGGUGCUGUGGCUGUGAAGAGAGAGCCCGUCGGUCUCGCGUGGGGAGUCCGCACGGGGGGGAGUGAGCGGGGUCGUGAGCGCGGUCGCGGACGCGACUGUUGAUCCGCACCGCCGGGGCGACCCGCCGCACCCUCCGUCGCACGCCCGUCGUGCCUCCCCCACGUCGUCGUCGACGGUGCCUCUCCCUCUCUCUGGUGGUUCGUGGAAGAAAACGCGACCCCUCGUCAACCAAGCGACCUCGGGCCAGCCCCGGGCUGACCGACGAGCCCCCGUCCCAGGGCGGGGAUGCCCAUUGCGGCAGCACCUUGCGGGUGGCACUCCGCGUGUCGGGGCCCGAGGCUCGACCAGCGCUCCCUCUCUCUCUCCUCGGAAAGGCGUUUGCGUGCGUGCGCCUGUGGCCCUCUCUCUGGACGACGAACGCACGCAGAGCAGAGUGGCCCACAGGAGCCGCGGCAAACCCUCCCGACCCUGGCGUGUCUCCGGACGUGCCAGUCACCAACGGCGACAGCCUGGAACACCGCGCCCUCGCACGUGCACCCCCUCCGGGGGGCUCGCGGGUGGGGUCGCGGCGGGGCCCCCUGGACGGUGUGCGGCUGCACCACCCUGGAUGGUGGCCGCCCCGUCCCAACCAUCGGGAGGGUCCCCCAGCGUCGCCUGGUGCAGACAAAGCCCCCGUGCGUGGUGGUGGAAGAGCUUGGUGAAUCGUUCCGAGGCAGUGCCGUUCUCUGCCCGUCUUGAAACACGGACCAAGGAGUCUAUGGAGCUUGCCAGUCGUCUGGAGCAGAACGCACGCGAGUGCGGCGCUCAGACCAGCAGUGCAUGGUGAAGGCAACGUGCUUUGGUUCCUCCCCGUCGCCUCGCCCCUCCCUCUCCCCUCGCCCGGUGUGCGUGUGUGCCCCCAGCGUGGGGCCACCGAACGCCGGUGUCGGGGGUGGUGGUGGUGGGGGUGUGCGCAGCGGGGGACGGACGUCAUCACGGCGUGGGUCAGACGGACGCGCCCUGCGCGCCCCGCACGGCCCCACCGGCCUCGCAGUCCAGUGGACAGAGUUUCGAGUGAAUGCAAGGUCCAUGGGACCCGAAAGGUGGUGAACUAUACCAUUCUACGACGAAGCCAUGGGAAACUGUGGUGGAAGUCGGUCGCUGUUCUGACGUGCAAAUCGUGUAGCCUGAGAGUGGCAUAGGGGUGAAAGGCCAAUCGAGCCACCUAGUAGCUGGUUCCCUUCGAAGUUUCCCUCAAGGAUAGCUGGGCUCGAAUGCAAGAGACGAAGAAGAGACGCCGCGAACACGCAGUGACCGCGGUUACGUCCGGUAAAGCAACGCACGAGAGGCACAACUCCGGGGGGGUCCAUCCCCUCGACCUAUCCUCGAACUGUGAAUGGGCGUGGUGCCAGGCAUGCUCCUUCGCCAACGUUGGGAGGCCGUGGCGGGACUCACGCAGGCCCCCACGGUGCUCCGGGAACCUCUGAGCGUGUUGCGACUGGCCCCCCGUACGGGGGGCGACCUUGCGAGAACGCACGUGCCCACGUGGGCCAUUACUGGUAAGCAGUGCUGGCGAUGCGGGGUGCUCCGAGAGCGGAUCUACAGAACCCGAGUGCUGGCUCAUACUCAGAUCCCACAAAGGAUGUUGCUUGCUCUGGAUAGCAGGACGGUGGCCAUGAAGGUUGGAACCCGCUGAGGAAUGUGUAACAACUCACCUGCCGAAGCGUGCAGCUCCGAAAAUGGAUGGUGCCCAAGCCAGCGCAGACAUACCCUCUGACGAUCCGCCGGCGCUGUGGUGUGGAGAAGUGGUUGUCACGCAGGCCGGAAGCAGAGCAUCGCCGUGUAGAAAGGGCUCGGGCGACCGCCGUGCGGGUCGGGGCUGCCCCCGUUCCCAUUCCUCGAGCGUCGCCCGGCGCAGAUCUUGGUUGCAGUAGCGAGUACUCCAUCGGGUGAAGAGCGGCCAAACAUCACAGCCCCGCUGUGCGCGGUUGAGGACUGGAGUGGAGCAGGCUUCCACACCAACAGCCGUUGAAUGUGGGUCAGCCGACCGUGAGCCAAGUGGUAAGUUCACCGAACAACCAAAGCUGCCGCAGCGUGCUCCGAGACGAGGACACACACACACGUGUGUGUCGUGACAAUGGUGCUUGGGUCUGCGAUGUGUUGGGUUCGCGCCCGCCCGCUUGUCGCUGUUGCGGUACCCCUCCGCGGGGCGUCCGACACACACACACAGCGGUGCGUCUCCCACGGCGGAUGAUGCAGCGCGAUCCCUCCCACACAGCAGUGUCUCCCACACACACCAUGGUCACCACGCGUCGGGCAGGAGUGGCAAACAGGCAAGGAGUCACAAGAUUCUCCUGUGAUGGACUUGGGGGUGCUUGGCUGCGGCCACCCACCCAGUACACGAAGCAUGCCAGCAGGCUUCGGGGCAGUGGAGCCACCCAGGAGUUCUAUCGUUUCCUCCUGAUGCAGACCCAUGUGGGCUAUCGAUUGGCACGACAACUGGUGGUGUAGAGUCUUCCGCUCAGCAAGGCAGUGCGGCCUCCGCGCUGGUGGUUCCCCUUUGAAGUAGCAGUGUACUGUUGUCUGAUGGUCUCGGCAGUGCGCACCACGCCGUGGUCGCGCUCCGAGGACGCACACAACACGCACCACACACGAACAACAUGGCUGUCACUGGCUCCAAUGAAAGGCCUGUGGGCUAUCGGACGCGCCCCAGAACCCUCGUGUUCGUACUGCAUCACCGCAGCAGGUCUCCUCGACAUGAAGUCGCUAGUCAACGGACGAAAUGCAGCUAAGGGAAGUCGGCAAACCGGCUGUGCACCCUCGGAAGAUGCAGUGGCUCCAGAGGCCAGGCCAUUGGGCCCUGUUGGGAGCGGUGCGGUUCGUCGGGGGCGAGCGCCCUGACGGGGCGUCCACCCCGCGUGGAUGCUCUGUGGGGCUGACCGCCCUCGGCCCGCGCCGCCCCUCCGACAGGGGCCGGAUUUGCGGCGUGUGUGCCCCCCGUGGGUGCGCGCGACGUUGCCGGCCGCCCCCGUGGCUACGCAGUGGCCCAUGUGGAACUGUUGCCGUGCAGGGGAAUCUGACUGUUUAAUUGAAACCCAGCUUCGGGAUGGGGUCCCGCGGCUGGCCCCCCGAGGUGACUUCUGCCCAGUGCUCUGAUUGUCAAUCCGAAGAGAUUCAGCCAAGCGCGGGUAAACGGCGGGAGUAACUAUGACUCUCUUAAGGUAGCCAAAUGCCUCGUCAACCAAUUAUUGACGCGCAUGAAUGGAUCAGCGAGAUUCCUGCUGUCCCUAGCCGCUGUCCGGUGAACCAACAGCCAAGGGAAC
rnacentral:rRNA from 1 species